rnacentral:rRNA from 1 species
CCUACGGGUGGCAGCAGUGGGGAAUAUUGCGCAAUGGGGGAAACCCUGAUGCAGCGACGCCGCGUGAGUGAAGAAGUAUUUCGGUAUGUAAAGCUCUAUCGGCAGGGAAGAUAGUGACGAUACCUGACUAAGAAGCCCCGGCUAACUACGUGCCAGCAGCCGCGGUAAUACGUAGGGGGCAAGCGUUAGGCGGAUUUACUGGGUGGAAAGGUUGCGCAGGUGGCAGGGCAAGUCAGAUGUGAAAGCCCCGGGCUCAACCCCGGUACUGCAUUUGAAACUGUCCAGCUGGAGUGCAGGAGAGGUAAGUGGAAUUCCUAGUGUAGCGGUGAAAUGCGUAGAUAUUAGGAGGAACACCAGUGGCGAAGGCGGC